GGGUGCCCAAGGCGUACGUUCUUGUUUUUUUUGUUGGAAUUUUGGAAUUGUUUUCAAACAGAUAACGCUAAAACAAACAUUACCCUGACAACGCUAGUAACAUAAAAAAAAGAACAUUAGCUCGGAAAAAGCUGCUGUCGGUAUUUAUUGAUUUUUUUUGUCUCUUUACCAGCUUCCUUGAAUUCUGCUGUGAGGGUCACGGGGCUGCUUCGUGGGCAAAGGCAGCGGACAUCCUAGACAGGAAGACAGCCAGAAAAAUCUUUGGAAACUGAAUGAAGAAGCACAGACAAAUAUGACCAUAACAGCUGCAACGGCUAAUUUGGCUUAGGAAGCCUGAAGGAAGAGGAGCGGGGGAGAGAAGGAGGGAGGGGAUGAAGAAGAGUCGGAAAGAGGGAGGCCUUCAUUAUGAAAAGUGUGGAUGUUGGAGAUAAAGGUUAGUGUUAUUGAAUCUUGAUGCCCCUCUACAUCACACCUCUGUGGAGGAAACGGAUGGAGAUGAAAUGGAUAAGGAGGGACAAGGAUGGAAUUGGUAGAGGCGGAUGAGAUAGGGAAGGAAGGAGGAGAUAAACAUGGUGUUUGUGUCUUAGGUGUGAGCGUGUCGUGUUUGUGUUUUUUUUUGCUUCAGAACUGAGGACAACAAGCCUGCACGCACUUAAUCUCAGUUGGCCCCAAUAAGCCCAGUUACUCAAAAACUCCCUGCUUUUCAUUUUCCCAUCAUGUCCUCUUUUUUUCCCCACGCAAUUAUACUUUUUUUUUUACAUUAAACAUAAAUCUUCUUUUCUUGAGCUCCAGGUCUUUCUCCUGCUAUUCUAAGUCUCAUUCGUCAGUAGAAAAAGAAUCCUUUAUAAAAACACUUAUCUCCCAUAUGCAGCAAAUGGAGUUUGGGACACAGACCCUUUAUGCGUCUGACAUUUUUUUUCUCUGCUCUCUUCUCUGACAAACACUUUUCUUUUUAAGGUUUCUAAAAGUGUAUCCCCUCAUUUUGUCUGCUGGCCUCCGUUCUUUUUCCCCCCUUGUGUAUCCAUAUUUAAAGCCGAAGAAUCCAUCUAUUAUCAAACAGAAUUCUAUGUUUUCUUUAUGUUUUACUUUGAAAAUCAGCCCCACUUCUGACUUUAACCUAAAUAAACAAAGAAUGUAAUGUUAAGAUUUUAUUUUGAAGGUUUGGAGUUGUAUUUUUAGCACAGUAUUUACCACAAAGUCAAGGCCUUUGCCGUAUUUUCUACACUGUUAGGCACACUGUCAAUGAACAGCCAUCCAGUCAGAGAUAAUUCUGUCAGUCAGACUGCAUUAAUGGCGUUCAAAGAAAUUCUAGGACUUGUUCAUAAUAUGUUACACGUUAGCCGCUUUGGCAUAUUCACAGUAUCUCUAAUACCUUGUUUGUAACAUAUAAAAAAUACUAUUACAGCUAAAACAAACAAUACUGUGACCAUGCUAACUCCCAACCUUGUUAGUAUGCUGUUAAAAAACACAGACUAACAACACUACACAUUUGCUCUGUUUGAAGUGUUAGCCAUCUUAGCCACAUUAGCGUAUUUACAAUACCUCGCGUAACACCCAAACUUGUAUGCAACAAGUAACAAAAUCAGACUGAUACAGCUAAAACAAACAUUACUGAUACUAUAGCUAAUUCCCAACAUUGUUAGUAACACGUAAAAAAAACACAUUCCAACACCGCUACACAUUAGCCAAGUUAGUCACAAUACCCUUAACGCCCAACCUUGUUAGCAACUUGUACAAAAACAGACUGAUACUGCCAAAACAAUUGUUGUGAUUCUGCUAACUUCCAACCUUGUUGUAACACGUAAAUAAAACACCGCUUCACAUCAGCCGUGUUAGCAUAUUCACAAUACCUCUAACUCUCUACUCUUUGUGUGCAAAAUGUAAAAAGUCCAUUAUACAUCUAAUGGACGGUUUUGCUCACCGUGGUGUCAUUUGCUGCGGUUACAUGCGCAAAAUAUCUUGAUCGGAUCAAUGGUCGGAUUAAAAUCCAACCGUGUACAUGGGAUCAGAAAAACCUUU